CUAGACCCUAGAAAUCUUCAGAUUGAAACAUUUUGCUUCAACUCCUUACAAAACUUCAAUCAAAUAAUUUAAAAUUAUGACCUUUCUUCAUUGACCACCUUGCUAAGGAAGGAUAGCACCUCUGGACCUGUGGAGUGGCAUCAGGUUUGGCAAGAGUCUUGUCAAAGACAACUUUCUCUGUUGCAUGUUGCUGUUAGUGACAUGAUCAUCACAGAGAGAAUUUCUUACUGGCAACUGGUCCACCAAUGCCGUGUGGGACACCUCUGCUGGGUCACAGUAUGAAGACUUUUCUACCUCAGUUGCCAAUAGUGGAAGGCAUGACAAGCCAUCAGCUUUGCUGUGUUGUUUGAUACCCUUGAGCUCUAUGUCAUGAGAGUGGGCUCCUCGGAAAAGUGACAUAUGGAGGCAAAACACAGCAAUUAGAGGCUUUACCUGUUGAAAAGUGAUGGGCCAGUACAUAUCGCACAUGAGUGGUUGAAAAUAAUCCAACUAGACUUUGCCAGUCAUGAUGAUGAUGUGAUCAAGGUAGCACAGUUUUCCUGGGAUAUCUUGGAGCACUUGGUCCGUUGCUCUUUGUGAAAUUGCUGGAGCUGAUGUGAUGCCGAAGAUGAGACAAUUAUACUGGAACAGUCUUGUGAGUGUUGAUUGUGAGGAACUUCCUGCUUGAAUCUUCAACCUCCAUUUGAAGAUAGGCUUGUUACAAAUCAGUCUUUGAAAACCUCUCCCCACCUGCCAAAGAUGGAAAAAUAUUUUCCAUUUGUGGCAGUAUGCACAGUAUGCAGCAUAGGGUUGCUCCUUAGUUUGAAGUCCUCGCAAGCAACUCGGGCCUUCCCUUUCUUGAUCAUUGGGACAAAGGGCAUGGCCUAAUCACUCCAGUCAACCUUAAAGAGAAUGCCAGAUGCCUCCAAGCUCUGAAGUUCAGCAUUCACUUUAGGAUGUAGUGUGUAAGGCACUGGGCAUGCUUUAUGGAAAUAUGGUGUUGCUGCUUCAUCCAGUUCAAUUCUGGCUUUCAUGUCUUUGACUUGACCAACCGUUUUGAAACUCCUUCUCAUUAGCAUGCAGCAGCCGUGCCAGUCUCUGGUCAGUGCUACCGUUUGGGCUGCAGUUGCCCAUUGUUGGAACAUUGGGAGCUUAGAUUGUGGGCCAGUCUAAUUGGAUUUUUCUCAACCAUUCAUCUGUGAUAAGUACUAGCCCUCCACUUUUCAACAGAUAAAGCCUCUAAUUGUUGUGUUUUGCUUCAAUACGUCACUUUUAACUUCAGUUUGCCUUUAGUAGACACUUUCUCACCUGUGUAGGUCUUUAGCAUCACCAUUGUCUUUUCUAAUGAUAACUUGGAGAACAGUCUGCUGUAGUCAAAGCUGACCCUAUAUCCAGAUCCAUUUUCAGUUUUACACCAGAUACAUCUAUUGUGAUCCAUAUGAUUUUACGAUCUGCUUCAGUAAUGCUAUGCAGUUCUAGGCAUGACAGUUCACCUCUGUCAGUCACUUCAUGCAUUUGUUUAGUUUUGUGUUUGAAACUUUCACUUUAUGUGGUUUUCCUCUGAUUGUGCUUUUGUCUGACUUGUACAUCCUCGCUAUGUGGCCUUGUCUGUGACACUUUCUGCAGAUGUUUCUUUGAACUUAUUCAUUUGUAUUGGGAGGAUUUGCCACAUCCAUAAUAUUUUUGGCUUUUUGCACCAUUCAGGGGCAUUUUGUCCAUCUCACAUUCUAAACUCUUCUUCUGUAGUUCUGAUGCACCCUUUUUUACUGUCUCCAACAAUAUUGCAAUGGUCAAUGCCCAUUCUAAGGAUAGGUCUCUUUCUGACAGUAGCCUCAUUUGUGUGCUUUGAAUAUGCAUGCCACAUAUAAGCCUGUCCCUUAAUGAAUCAGAAAGUCCAUCUCCAAGGUCAAAGUACUGGGAAAGUUUAUGCAGUUCUGCAAUGUAUUCAGAAAUGUUUUCAUCCUUUGACUGCUUUUUUUGUGAAAUCUAAAUAUCUCAGCUAUUACUAGUGGUUUAGGACUCACGUAAUUUUGUA